rnacentral:rRNA from 1 species
GAUGAACGCUGGCGGCGUGCCUAAUACAUGCAAGUCGAGCGAACAGACGAGGAGCUUGCUCCUCUGACGUUAGCGGCGGACGGGUGAGUAACACGUGGAUAACCUACCUAUAAGACUGGGAUAACUUCGGGAAACCGGAGCUAAUACCGGAUAAUAUAUUGAACCGCAUGGUUCAAUAGUGAAAGACGGUUUUGCUGUCACUUAUAGAUGGAUCCGCGCCGCAUUAGCUAGUUGGUAAGGUAACGGCUUACCAAGGCAACGAUGCGUAGCCGACCUGAGAGGGGGAUCGGCCACACUGGAACUGAGACACGGUCCAGACUCCUAAGGGAGGCAGCAGUAGGGAAUCUUCCGCAAAGGGCGAAAGCCUGACGGAGCAACGCCGCGUGAGUGAUGAAGGUCUUCGGAUCGUAAAACUCUGUUAUUAGGGAAGAACAAAUGUGUAAGUAACUAUGCACGUCUUGACGGUACCUAAUCAGAAAGCCACGGCUAACUACGUG